CUCUGUGAACAAUGUAACAUAUAUGUAGUUAGAGAAACACUGAUUUGACUCCUGUGUAAAACUGUCUUUUCCUUGUGCUACAGCAGAUCUCUCAAAUGCUCCAAAUUUAGCCACAUUUGCUCAACAGGGACAUAGUGUCGGAGAGGCUCUCUGGGUCCAGCUCCUUGUUCAAUGCGGGAUUUAUAGCUAGAGCAUCUACAGCAAGGUGUCCAGACUCAUUUUGAAGACAUACAGAGAAGGAAGCCAUCUCACCCCUCCAGGCAAUUGGUUCCAUUGCAAACGGUUCUCAGUGACAUGAAAUACCUCUUCUGGGACUAAAAUGGCCUAGGGGUUCUCAAAAUGUGACAUAAAUAACCCUAAUUUGAGGCCUGUCUGUCUGUCUGUCUCUAUAUAUAUGUACGUGCAAUAACCAAUGGAUGUAAGAGCUGGACCAUAAGGAAGGCUGAGUGAAGGAAGACACAUUUGAACUGUGGUGUUGGAGAAAAAUUCUGAGAGUGCCUUGGACCACAAGAAGAUCAAACCAGUCCAUCCAGGAAAUAAUGCCUGACUGCUCACUGAAGGGAAGGAUAUUACAGGCAAAGAUGAAGUAUUUUGGCCACAUAAUGAGAAAACAGGAAAGCUCAGAGAAGAGAAUGUUGCUGGAGAAAAAAGGAAAAAGGAAGAGGGACCGACCAAGGGCAAGAUGGAUGGAUGGUAUCCUUGAAGUGACUGCUUAACCUUGAAGGAGCUGAGGGUGGCCACACAGCAGACAGGAAGCUCUGGCGUGGGCUGGUCCAUGAGAUCAGGAAGUCAGAAGUGACUGAACGAAUAAACAUAUACAUAUACAUAUAUAUAUAUAUAGAGAGAGAGAGAGAGAGAGAGAGAGAUGCAAGUAAGAUGCAAAGGUUUACAAAAUGCAAAAUUUGCAACAGAAAUGUUUACAAGUUGAAACAAAGGACCAAGUUGAAGGAAAGUGGAGGGACAAUGUUGGGGAACCCCAUGAGAAUGAAAAUCCAGUGAAUGCAAAUUGUCUGGAAUCAUGUUUCAGAGAUAAACAUGCGUCUAUCAAAUUCAAUAAACUAUAAUGAAAAAC